rnacentral:lncRNA from 1 species
AAAAGGGGAUUUAUGAGAAAGAUGCUGGGAGUAGCUCACUAAAUCAAGUGAAGCUGAAACCAUCAAUUCUCUGUCAGGACGUAAAUGAAGGUGACCUGGGACCUUGGGAGCUAUUGCUCCUGGCACUGGAGCACUAUCAUGAGACGACUCUGCACCAACUGACUUGUCUAUUUCAGUCACAUUUUCAAAUACCCAGGAGAGAGAACAUAGCUGGCCAGCUUGACAGGUGUCUCUAGCUUCGGCCAGAGAACAGGACACGGAGCACCAGCAUGGUCACUGGGAGAUCAGUUGUGAGCCAGAAGCCACUGCAGGUUGUGUCUACUAGAGAAAGAAGGACCUGCUAGAGAAAGAGGGAUCCUGCCCCAAUGAUGGAAGCCAGCUGAAGCUGUAGAUUAACUAAAAAAAAAAAAAAAAAACUAGUUAGGGAAGGAAGAAGUGAGAGUUGGGGGAAAGAGGAAAAAGACUCAGUAUUUGCAGAUGGAACUCUGAGCAAAUACAGGAGUAGAAAACUAAGCACUCAGCAUUCAAUAAAAGCCCUGCGAUAAGGAGGCGAAUUCCACAUGAGU